rnacentral:lncRNA from 1 species
CGGAGUUCCGCCUCUGUGAGGAAGAGGCCGUGGAAACCGUACGGCACCCGCCGGGGGAGGCACACCUCGGUGACCACCUCCAGGUCCGGAGACCUAGCGUCCAUCACGACGAAGCUCGAUUCUCCCGUGAUCUCAUCGUGCAGGUACGUCACCAGGUACCCGUCGUCCUCCUCCUCGCCCUCGUCCGGUGCUGGCACGAAGAUGGGCUCGCCACCGAACCUUCGGGGGCUGUACAUCUGGGAGGCGACCACACAGUCACCACCCUUCUUCUCCAUGUCCAGCUUCACCACUCCGGCCACCUUCGGCUGCAGGUCCCCAGCUCCGAGGUAGGCGUAGCGGUUGCGGCGGCCCUGGUAGCUCGGGUUGAUCACCCCCAAGUCGAGGUUCUUUACGGAAAGCGGAAACCGGG